rnacentral:rRNA from 1 species
GAUGGACGCUGGCGGCGUGCCUAAUACAUGCAAGUCGAGCGAAUGGAUUAAGAGCUUGCUCUUAUGAAGUUAGCGGCGGACGGGUGAGUAACACGUGGGUAACCUGCCCAUAAGACUGGGAUAACUCCGGGAAACCGGGGCUAAUACCGGAUAACAUUUUGAACCGCAUGGUUCGAAAUUGAAAGGCGGCUUCGGCUGUCACUUAUGGAUGGACCCGCGUCGCAUUAGCUAGUUGGUGAGGUAACGGCUCACCAAGGCAACGAUGCGUAGCCGACCUGAGAGGGUGAUCGGCCACACUGGGACUGAGACACGGCCCAGACUCCUACGGGAGGCAGCAGUAGGGAAUCUUCCGCAAUGGACGAAAGUCUGACGGAGCAACGCCGCGUGAGUGAGGAAGGCUUUCGGGUCGUAAAACUCCGUUGUUAGGGAAGAACAAGUGCUAGUUGAAUAAGCUGGCACCUUGACGGUACCUAACCAGAAAGCCACGGCUAACUACGUGCCAGCCGCCGCGGUAA